AAUCGGGCCGUCAGACUGGCCCUGUAUGCCAGAUCAGGUCUGUGGGCCAGCUGCAUAACACUCAUCUGGUUCUCAGGGCCAGGUGACUUGGGUAUCACUGUCUUACAAUAUUUACAUAGGUAUCUAACUUUCCUCCUUGCGAGCAGUCCUAUUAACUUAAAUAUAUUCCUUAUAGAUACAAGUAACCCUAUGAUGACUCUACUGGGACAGUUUUUAUCAGUUCCAGGCAAACUGGAUCUCAGUGAACAGCAGCUUGAUAAUGGAUCCUUACAAACUGUGGCCAGUCGUGCCGAAUUUCAUUCAGAACCAGAUCUUCAGGGCUCAACAAAAGUUACUUUAAUUGGAUUGCCUCUUAGUUCCUGGGAUAUAAAGUCUAGAAAGCCAUGUAACUGUACCAAAUCUCAGUGUCUG
rnacentral:lncRNA from 1 species